rnacentral:rRNA from 1 species
GGACUACCCGGGUUUCUAAUCCCGUUCGCUCCCCUAGCUUUCGUGCCUCAGCGUCAGAAGAGACCCAGUGAGCCGCUUUCGCCACCGGUGUUCCUUAGGAUAUCAACGCAUUUCACCGCUCCACCCUAAGUUCCGCUCACCUCUGUCUCACUCGAGCACAGUAGUUUUGGGCGCAGUUCCUCGGUUAAGCCGAGGGAUUUCACACCCAACUUUCUGCGCAGCCUACGCACCCUUUAAGCCCAGUGAUUCCGAAUAACGUUCGUACGGUUCGUCUUACCGCGGCGGCUGGCAC